rnacentral:rRNA from 1 species
UACGUAGGGUGCAAGCGUUAAUCGGAAUUACUGGGCGUAAAGCGUGCGCAGGCGGUUUUGUAAGUCAGAUGUGAAAUCCCCGGGCUUAACCUGGGAACUGCGUUUGAAACUACGGUGCUGGAGUGUGGCAGAGGGAGGUGGAAUUCCACGUGUAGCGGUGAAAUGCGUAGAGAUGUGGAGGAACACCGAUGGCGAAGGCAGCCUCCUGGGCCAACACUGACGCUCAUGCACGAAAGCGUGGGGAGCAAACAGG